UUUUUUUUUUUUUUUUUUUUUUUUUUUUUUUUUUUUUUUUCCCAGAAUUCCUUCCCUGCCUGUUUCUAUUUAGGGAGGGUGGUUGUGAAGUAGCAGCCAUUUUGUUUUUAUGCUCAAAAGGUUGGGCAGGAUGCUUUGGUAGCUCGCAUACAUUGUUACUUCUCUGCUGGCUCAUUUGAUGGCUAUGGGGCAGCAGCUCGGCCUGCCACCACCUCUAGGUGUUUCUUCAGCUUCUCCAACCCCAAGGCUGGCCGUGUAACUCAUGACUUUUGCCUUCCACCAUGAUUGUGAGGCCUCCCUAGCCACACUGAACUACAGUUCUUCUUUCCCUUUAUUAAAAGCUCCACAGAAACUUCCUAGGAUCUUGCUGACUUCUAAUGCUUACUUAAAAAGUUCCAUGG